rnacentral:rRNA from 1 species
ACGGGCUGAGUAACGCGUGGGAACGUACCUUUUGGUUCGGAACAACACAGGGAAACUUGUGCUAAUACCGGAUAAGCCCUUACGGGGAAAGAUUUAUCGCCGAAAGAUCGGCCCGCGUCUGAUUAGCUAGUUGGUAGGGUAAUGGCCUACCAAGGCGACGAUCAGUAGCUGGUCUGAGAGGAUGAUCAGCCACAUUGGGACUGAGACACGGCCCAAACUCCUACGGGAGGCAGCAGUGGGGAAUAUUGGACAAUGGGGGCAACCCUGAUCCAGCCAUGCCGCGUGAGUGAUGAAGGCCCUAGGGUUGUAAAGCUCUUUUGUGCGGGAAGAUAAUGACGGUACCGCAAGAAUAAGCCCCGGCUAACUUCGUGCCAGCAGCCGCGGUAAUACGAAGGGGGCUAGCGUUGCUCGGAAUCACUGGGCGUAAAGGGUGCGUAGGCGGGUCUUUAAGUCAGGGGUGAAAUCCUGGAGCUCAACUCCAGAACUGCCUUUGAUACUGAAGAUCUUGAGUUCGGGAGAGGUGAGUGGAACUGCGAGUGUAGAGGUGAAAUUCGUAGA